AGAUUUAGAGUGGUUCGGUCAAUCUUGACCUACAUCCACUUUUGGCUUCCUCCUCCGAUGAGGUCACUGACGUCCACUAGAGGCCUUCCUUCAAUAGGCAAAGGCCAACCAUCCUUUUACAGUUUCACUCCUUUUGACAGGCUUAGGAGACAAUCCUUAUAGAAUUUCUCUCCUCUCUUGAAAGCUUGGAAGAAAAGAGGGAGGAGAACUUCUAGCCUUUACAACACUUCU
rnacentral:lncRNA from 1 species